rnacentral:miRNA from 1 species
GUAGAGGAGGCCCGUGUUCAGCACUAGGCAGUAUAUACUUAGCUGGUAUUAUUGUUAUAUCGCAGCGUAAUAAGCUGGCAUGCUUAUUACGGGGGUAGUCACCCUAGUAACGUUACUACGCCGCUUGUCGGCAGCGUAGCGACUGCCGCCCACGCCUCGUCCCGCACGUACGCCGCGUCUCGGUGCUUACAAUCACAGACGCAAACAAACUUUACUCUGUACUUGUCCGUUCGAUGUGAUGUUACUGAGCCGUGUGUAUUGUCGUCGUGUCUACACCGCGCUGUAUGGUGAACUUCAGUCAGCUCGCCAAAUUGACGCUACUUACAUUUCGAGCAGCCCGCGCCGCCGGGGCUCUCGGCGCCGGAGCCGCAGUACUUCCCGUUCCCCAAGUACAGCGAGCCGUACGCGUUCAAGCGCGAGGACGUGCCGUACGACAUGAGCCAGCAGCAUGCGCACGCGCACGCGCACCAGCAACACCACCAACAGCACCAAUACGCGCUGCCGCACCAGCAGAAGCGAGACGAAGACAUCUACAAUGGCAUCAAGCGCGAGUGCGAAGACCCGUACUCGUUCGCGGAGGAGGAGGCGGCGAUGUGCGCGAUGCUGCAGCAGCCCGCGCCGCACGCGCUGCUGCACGAGCACCACCUCAUGCACCCGCAGCAGAUGCUGCUCAACCAGCCCAAGAAGCGCGGCCGCAAGAAGAAGAUCAAGGACGAGAACGGUAUGGAGAUAAAGACGGAGGGCAUGGAGGGCGCGCUGGUGCCGCGGCCGGUGAAGGAGCGCAAGAAGCACGACCGGUUCAACGGCAUGAGCGAGGAGGAGGUGUCGCGCCGCACGCUGCCCGACCACCUCGCCGAGAACCUCGACAUCAUCAUUAUCGGCAUAAACCCGGGUCUGUUCGCGGCGUACAAGGGGCACCACUACGCGGGCCCCGGCAACCACUUCUGGAAGUGUCUCUACCUGUCCGGACUCACCAGGGAGCAGAUGAGCGCCGAUGAAGACUACAAGCUGUUGAACUUCGGCAUCGGUUUCACGAACAUGGUGCCGCGGCCGACCAAGGGCUCGGCGGACCUGACGCGGCGCGAGAUCAAGGAGGGCUCCGCGGUGCUGCUGGAGAAGCUGCAGACCUUCCGGCCCAAGGUGGCCGUCUUCAACGGGAAGCUCAUCUACGAGGUGUUCUCCGGCAAGAAGGACUUCUGCUUCGGGAAACAACCGGACACCGUCGCCGGCACCAACACUUACAUGUGGGUGAUGCCGUCGUCGUCGGCGCGCUGCGCGCAGCUGCCGCGCGCGGCGGACAAGGUGCCGUUCUACGCCGCGCUGAAGAAGUUCCGCGACUACCUCAACGGACUCGUCGCGCACGUCGACGAGGCCGAGCUCGUGUUCCCCGACAACACCAGCCGCCGCCCGCAGGAGGAGAUGGAGAUCCGCAGGCUCACAAUGGAGCCGGAACCAGGCGACACGAUCAUCCUGGAGGACGGCACUGAGGUGCCGCUUAAGAAGAAGCGAGGCCGACCCAAGAAGGUGAAGCUGGAGAACGGCGAGACCGCGCCGCCCACCCCCCGCGCCCCGCGCCAGCCGCGACCCCCGCCCACGCUCGACCCCAACGGAGACCAGCCACCCAAGAAGAAGCGUGGUAGACCCAAGAAAAUACGCCCCGAAGAACAACAGUUCCUCAUGCAACAACAACAACAGCAACAGCAACAACAGUCGAACCCCAUGCUGCAGUCGUCGCUGUCGUCGCUGUCGUCGCUGCCGCACGAGCAGGGCUACCUGGCGCCGCACGCGGGCGAGUUCCCGCAGCAGCUCGGCUCGCUGCCGUCGCUGCCGUCGCCGCUGGCGCAGGGCUCGCUGCUGUACUCGCACGCGCACCCCGCGCACCCGGCGCACGCGCACCAGGCCAUGCCCGACGGCGCCGGCUACUUCCAGCCGCAGCCGCAGGCCCAGCCCGCCGGCGGAGACGGCACACCAUGCGACAUGUCCGGCAUGGACUCGCCACUGGACGUGUCGCCCGCCGGCCGCGCCUUCAGCGCGCGCUCGCCCAUGUACGCGCACAGCCCCGCGCACCAACCCUACCACCAUCCGCACCAGCAAUCGAGUCCUGCUCAGCAACCUCGAUUCUCGCAGUCGCCUCAUCCGCACCAUCCACUACCCUACGCACGCUCGCCCGCACCACAGACGCAGUCACGGCCGUACUCGCGGUCUCCGGUGCCGUCGGGCGCGGGGGUGGUGGGCGUGGGAGUGGGGGUGGGAGGCAACACCACGCCGUUCCCGGCCGCGUCGCCCGCAGGCGGCGGCUACACGCCCUCGCCCGCGCACACUCCCUACAGCCACCGCUCCUCGCCUGCGCCCUCCUCACGCACUCCCACAUACACAGACGCGCAUCACUUCCCACAUCAGAGCGGCAGCGGCGGCAGCGCGUUCGGCGGCGAGCUGGGCAGCGAGAUCGGCGCGGCCAUCUCGUCGCCGGGCCCGGUGUCGCCCGGCAUGGCGGCGCUGGACUUCGAGCCGCCGCGCGACCCCGAGCGCGCCGCCAGCCCCGCCAGCGCCGACCUGCACCCCGCCUCCAACUCCGACUCCUCGCUCUCCGACUACAACAAGACGUCGGUGGGCGGCGAGAUGUCGCCGGCGGGCGUGGGCGCGGGCUCGUUCGGCGCGCUGUACGAGGGCGAGCCGCGCCUGCAGUACCCGCACGCGCCGCACGCGCUGCACGCGCAUGCGCACUCGCCCGCCGCGCAGGACAAGGACCACUACCACUACCGGCAGGACCAGGGGAGCGGUGUAUCCGAGAGCCCAAGAUUAGACCAGAUGCACCAGCAUCAAUCCAUGUAUCCCAACAACUUCAACCGGUCGACGCCGCCGGGUCCAGUGGCGGAGGGUCCGUUCUCACCGCUGCCUGCCGCGUUCCGCCCGCCCGAACACCCGCACACGCCACACACGCCGCAUACACCACACACACCGCACACGCCGCUACAUCACCAGCCCGGUUCUCCGGGUGACUACAGCGGCACAGUGAAACCGAAGUCGCAAGACGUCGCGUCCAAGUCCCUGUCGGGUCUGGAAUCGCUCGUGGACCAGAUCCCGUCGAUAGCGGAGGGUCCGGGCGGCGCGGCGGGCGUGGCGGGCGGAGUGGGCGGCGUGGGGGGAGUGGCGGGGGUCGGCGGCGUGGGGGGCGUGGGCGGCGUGAGUGCGGGCGCGACCGAGCAGCCCGCGCCGGCGCCCGUGCCCGCGCUGCCCGAGUACGCGCCCGCGCUCUACGGGCCCUACGGCGCGUACGGCGGCGCCGCCUACGGGAACAACGGGUACGGCGGUCCGUUCGUGGGGUACGGCGGCGGCUGGGGCGCGACGGUGAUGCGGCCGGCGCCGGGCUACCUGCCCGAGUGGCAGUACGGGUACGGCGCGGGGGUGCCGCCCGCCUACGCGCCCUACAACGCGCCCUACUACAACGGGUACGCGCCGCCGCCUGCCCAUCACCAGCAGGUACCCUAGCCAGAACCAUCGCGUCAGUAAGGCGCACUACCUGUCGGCGCCGCCGCUGAUCGACCUGCACAAGAACGGCGAGCACGCGGGCGGCGUGCCGGCCGUGCCCUCCGUGCCCUCCGUGCCGUCCGUCGGCUUCGGCGGCUUCUGUUAGUGCACUCACGCGACCACACUGUACAUACCACACGCGGACUUUUUAUCUGUCGUUUUAACGAGUGUGAAGGGUGUGUUUGUGCGCGUGAGCGGCGGCGGUGAGCGGCGGCGGCGAGCGGGCGCGGGUACCGACGUAUUCGGAGAGUCUGUGAUCCUCGUCAUGUCUAACUAACUAAUGGCCAUUGUUAUUGCCAUACGGAAAAAAUGUGUUCGGAAACGUUCGAUAUGGAGUGGCGCACGCGCAGUGCUGUCGGUCGCGGUUGUGUCCGGAGUGACAGCGGUGGCGGUACAUAGAGGCCAUAUUAUGAGACGAUACGAAAUGGGAUUUUCUACUGUCUGUAUGUUGUAACAAUCUAUGUUUCUACGUUUGUAAUAUGAGGCUUAUUAUGUGGCGAAACCGCUACAAAACCCAAGCUGUACAAGCUAACACGAUUGUGAUCUCAUUGGUAUAUAAGAAUGUGACAUUAAUGAUCUUUGUUUAAGUUAAUUAUGAAUUAAAAUAUCUUUUCGCUGUGAUAUUGAGAACUUGGUAUUGGUUUAGUACAGGCGGUAAUUGUUAAACUAACGCGUGGGUCGUGUUAGCUUGCCGGCUGAGAUGGACUUGUUUAGUCGAUGCUGCUUUCCAGUACACAGUUUUUGUGAAUAUGUCCAUAAAUGUGUAAAUUUUACAUAUGACACAGUUAUCGUGGUAUUUGCAGCUCGCUGUGUACUCGCGAGCAGUCUCGAUGUUCGCGCGAGGGACCGACGCUCGUGGGCGGUGCACACUCGUGGCAGAAUCCUUAACAUUUAUUCGUUAUUCAUUUGGGAUUCAGCCAGAAAUUGUUAUACGAAGUCUUGCCAAUGAUGUGUUUCGCUCUAGUCACUUAUUAAUUCGUGUCGGCUAGUCAAAAUGAUAACGUACCCUGCGCCGCACCUCGCCCCCGACACUUGUCGCGCCGAUAUUAUAUAUUAUAUAGAAAAAAAUAUUAUUUUUUGUAUCUAAGUCACAAGAACGGCCUACGAAAGGAAUAACGUAUACUUUUUAUUUUUUAGAAUUUAGUUUGUAAUGUUUUGUGACACUAUUUAUAAUUAGCAUUUUGUAUUCUACUGUCGCAACGAGGCGGCCAUUUUGUCGGCGCGGUCAAUGACUGUCUGUGGUGCGCGGAUAUAAACUUGUGGAUCAUUUUUUAAUGAAUAUUUUAUGAGGUAUUGUAUUUUCCAUGUUACCAACAAUGGUUACUUUUUUUUAUAAAAAAAUAUAUUUUUAAAUCUUUUUAAAAUCCUAUUGUGUUGUUACCAACCGAAAAGAAAUGUGUAAAGGUUUUUUGGCCUUACCUGUAUAAUGAAUUGUAUAAUUAUCCCGUCGAGCACCGCAGAAGGAAGUCAGUGGGCGCGCCAUUGCCAUGGACACCGUGCAUUUUACUAAACGUUACCCGAUCAGUUACAUUAGCUUGGAGUCGCUAGUGAAAUAGCAUAAUUUUACAAUAAUUAUUGAUAACCUAUAUUUUUAUUAUACGCGCCAUUUUAUUAUAAGGCCAUUGACGUGAGAAUAAAUAAUAAUUUAAAACUUGUCGGAAUGCGUCCAGUCUUACAGAAUAUUGUGUUAAAUUGUAAACUGAAAUAGCACAGAUUGCAUUUACUUAUUUUUAUUUUAUUUUGACGUUUUGCUUACACAUUUACACUAUUUGCAAAUCCAAAAACAUUACCACUACGUAUGUUUUGAAUAAUUUGAUUUAUUUAUUAAGUAAAUAUAGCUUUAUAAUCAAAAAAGUACUACGCAGUUAUUUAAAGCUUUAAAAUAUUUUGAUUUAGCCUGAAAACUAAUCAAGGACAUCGCGUAAUUGUGUAGUGAGCGUCGCACGAAAGUUAAUAUUUAUUCUCACGGCACUUCUUGUACCGACUGGUAACAACCUCUAGGUUUAGUUGAACGGUUACGAAGCAUAAUGUUUACAUAGGGUGCUGAUUAGUUGAAUUGUUUCCUCGUUUUUUAUACGAAUGUCGCUCUACAAUAAGUAGUGUUUAGAGUCCUGUAUUACGUGUCGAUGUUGAAAUGUGUACGAGGUGCUAGAUAAGAGUCAUUGAUGACCGGUUAUACUGAUGUUUGAAUAUUUACUGAAGGGGCGACUAAUGUAGAGGUCUAAGAUAUGACAGCUAUACAUUAGCUAACAUUAAAGAAAAUAGUCCUAAUUUUGCACAACUAAUUAUUGUGUUGUUCCUGUAAGGAACUAACAUAACGCUGACAUGAUGUACAUUUCAUAUUACAAAACAUUCGAGCCACGUGACUGGCGCCUUGUACCAUUGAUGCGUUGUAUGUCGUACAAUACGGGAGUUUAUGUUUCAUUAUUAAGUCUUUAGUGUGUUGUUGAUGUUUUAUUUUCCACUUUUUGACGAUAUUUUUAGGUAUUGGGUCGUGUACAGAUAGAUAAAGUAAGGGUCGAUUCACACAAGAGCCAACACGUGCAACGAAUGAGCGUGGCAUCCGUGGGAAGCGCGAUUCGAAUUGCAAUCGAUCGCUUUGUGUCCUCGUUCGUGAAGUACAAUUAUUAUUAUAAGAACGCUCCAAGGCUGUUUUCGAGGCAUUUGUAUCUUUAACUCGUAUUAUUGUAUAGGAUAACUACAGGACUUGGAGAGAAGUUCGACAAUAAAGAUCUCUACAAAGUGGACAUUAGGGUUUUAAAUAUAUACAUUUAUUGCACACGUAGCUCGCCACUGUAAAUUCGUUUCAGGUGUUCGCUUUUUGACAAUCGACAAAUAAGUCCUUCCGCAUACUAUAAUAUAAAACUGUCGGUGUGUAGGCGAUCCGCCUAGUGUAUAAAUAGUGGGUCACAUCUGGAAAGUGAAAAUUCUCUUGUACAAAACAUUUUAUUAAAUUUUUUCUUUGCACAAAAGUCUUAAAAUUAAGCUAAAAACGAAAAUAACAUACGUAAUAAAGACAUAUACUUUUAAUGGUAGGUAUACACGAAUGAAUUUAUACGGUAGUGAAAAGGACGCGUCGGUCACCGGAGAGUUGGUAGGGUCGGUCGGAUUGUGCUCAAUGCUUGAGUUGUGUUCUGUCUCGCCUUCAAAUAGUGCAGCGGUCUCUGGUCUGAGUCUGUGCCACAAGCCACGUGUCGGGUGUGGUAUCAUACGCGCAUCUCUCGAUCUCGCUUCCAUCUACUGCCUACUAUUUAUACUGUACAAUGUACAUCUCGCUGCACUAUUUAAACGCAUACUUAAUUAUUUUUUUCGUAAUGCAGAAGGGGAAAAUUUAUAAGUUUAAAAAUGAAAUCAACAGGGUAUUUAAGAUUGCUUAAGAUUUAUUAUUUUAUAUUUAUUAUUAUUUAAUAAUGCGUGCUUGCUUAGCGCUGUUUUGUUUGGAUUAAGGUUAUUCUGUCGCGCGCCUGUCGUGCGUACAUCGCGCGUUGCGUGUGCGUGUCGUCGGCGGCACGUGGCUAUCGCGCGAUUCUGCCCUUGUAUUUACUUUUUGUUUAUGUUUGACAGCUGCACGGAAACACACGACUUGAAUAUAUUGACAUUUAUAAAAUACUUGGAACAUAGGGUCUAAAUUUGAAUCUCAAUUACACUUAAGCAUUUAAUUAUGUCAAUCAUAAUAAAAUUUAUUGUAUUAAUGGUUCGUACAACUUUGAAGUUGGUGAUGACAUUUCAGUAGAACGAAACAAGCGUUUGUGUGAUUCAGACGUGUUUAUGCAAUGCCAAGUGUUACAUAUUUGACGCUAAAAACAUAUUGCUUCAGUAUGGGCUCAAAGGUAUUUGUAAUUGGUGUAUUUUAAUAUCCGUCAUAUUUUAACUAGAGUUGUGUGGGUGUCGUGCAGCGGUCGGUCGCAGUAACGCCUUUGUACAUAAUGAGUGCUUUAUUACGCUUUUUUAUAUUAUUUAACAAAGUACAUAUUCGUAUUUCUAUUUUUGCUUUAUAUGUUCAUUUCACACGCGGUAUGUGUGGACGGGAUUCUCUUUGGUUACGUGUGUAAUAAGAGUAACAGUAGGUCGAUACCUCGCACAGUGAUAAUUUAUUGUUGGAGCGGAAAUGUUUUUCUUCCGAAAAAUUUCGCCAAACUUUGCCUACUGUUAAUCUUUAUUACACUAUGUUGGGUAAGUUGCGUCGUGGCGGUCGUUGAUAUUGAGAAAAUUACUUUUAACAUUUCGGGACGCUCUGUACUAUACGUUGUGUCUUCUCUUAAGCUCGACCAAGUAAUCUUAAUUCUUCUAGCAGUUUGCGUGUUCAUAAAAGACAACAAACAGUGCUACAAUUUUGAAAAAUGGUUACAAUUAAUCCGAUCCGUAAUACUUUAUAUAAUUUUAGUUACAUCUGCAUCAGUCAAUUGCCACGACGCAUCAACCGCGAACGAUUGAAGGCCUAUCAAACACACGCCACUGUUGUAACCGGGUGCUAGAGCUGUCGUCACAUCACGCGGCGGGAGGCGGCCUUAAAUGUGACCCAAUCUACCGACAGAACGGGGCAAGGGAAUUUAAACUUAAUUAUUUUGAAUUCUAAUAACUUUACAAUUCGUAUUUCAUUAGUAUCAUUUGACAUUUCAUUUAAGAUGAUAUCAAUGGAAAAUUUAUUCUAUAUUUAUUGUUUUAAAAUUAAAAGUAAUGCGACUUUUAAAUCCUAUGCCAUACUGUGCUGCCGAUAAAUUUCGGGAUUAUCAACUGCCUAUCCUCUGUGAUAUUUAUGUGACUGUCCGUGUGACAACCAGUGAGACUGCCAGCUCCCGGCGCGUGAGCAGCUUGCUUCUUUGUAACUUGUGGUUUAUGUGUAGACGGUAGACAAAAACAUUCCAUUGUCUGUGCUAUGGUCUUUACAGACCUCCGACUUGUCUUAACAAGUGCAAAAAAAUCCUUUCCCGUUCCUCCACUUCUGAAAAGAGUGCUGUCUCAUAGCAAAAUACAGUUAGGAGUAUGAUAAACUAAUAGAAUAGCACAAAAUUCACAUGUGUUCCACGCUGGGCUAUGACCAUCAAUGCAGUGGAUCUUGCGUUGUGGUCAAUUCCAUUGGUAAGUCAUUUUUCUAGGCCUGUGCGCUCUGGUACGUAAGUGCCCUAUCUCGACAAAGUAAGUAAUUACUUAAGAAGACACCUUAAAUGUUUGUCGAUGAAUUAUAAGCCGUACUUUAAACGAACUGUAUAUUUAAAUGAAGCGCGUCAAAGUAGUGUUUUUGUGUCGCAGUCUACACGUGCGUUAGUUGUAUUUCAAGUUUCCUUAUCGAAUAGGUUUUUUGGCGAAUUCCUUUACGCAACGGAGUGCAAUGUCGGGAGAUUAGUGUUUUGUCUCGUGUCUGAUUGUUGUAUUAUUGUAUUUUUAAUAUUAUUGAGUUGCGAGUUGUGUCACAAUGAACGCUGUAGAUGGUUGGUGAUAUACCACAGAGCCUGUUCAACUAUAAGUGGUGUUCGCCGCUGGGGGGUGCGACGAGACGGACGUGCAUGUCUUGUACAAAUAUUCGACGAAUUAUAGCAUUAGUCAAAGAUAUUUGUACACCCAGAUCAGCUGCGAAUAUCGCGUGUAGAUCGAACGUGAUUUGAUGCUGACGUUUAGUGACAAUAUCGUAUCCUCAGGCAAAGAACGCAAGUCUUAUUAAUACUUUCAUUGUUAGCCUGAAGACAUGAAAUAUUUGUUAAUUUAUUUCGGUAAACAAUUUUGGAGGCAUUUAAUAAAAAUUCACAGACCAUCUGUAACGUUUAUUUUGUGAUCCUCUCGCACCGGACCGUUUGGCAUAAACGAGUGACUUUCGACUUUCCUAUCAGGUGCAUAAAGUUUAGGAUUGUAUGAUAUUAGCAGCGAGUGGAGUCAGGACGUGCUGGACUAACUUUUAGAUUUUAGUGCGCGAGGUUAGGACGUAAAUUCGGUGGUGUUGCCGCGUUGUAUUUGUGCUUCUAUUGUAAAUUCGGUUUGUUGUCUAUACAUACAUGCUAAGAACAUAACGUAUUGUGAAACGUCUGUUGUAUAUCUAUAUUUACAUUUUGUUAUUCAAUAAUAGAAUAAAAAUAAUGGUUUGCUAUUUUUAAACAUUUUACGAAACGUUUUAAUAUGGCGACCGAAUUUACGCUCAAAUACAUACGCGUUCUUAAUAAUAAGUCUCUAUCAACGAGUUAGUGUUAGUGUGUACACGUGUUGUUCGCGGACGAGGCGCGGGCGCGGGCGCGGGCGCGGGGAGCGGACGCGGCUCGGCGGCGCGCGCGCCUCGCCGGCGCCUUUAUCUCCUUACAUGUCGCUGCUCGCGUGCGAGUGGACUUCACACGACUCGUUCGCAAUAUAGUGGCUUGGAACUCUUUCUCCUUCAUGGCAGUCGGUAAAAUCACAUAAAUAAAAACUAUCAUUCAUAAUAUGAAUUACUUAAUUAGGCUUCUUUUAAAUAAAAUACAAACAUUACCUAUAUUCUUAUCAAUUGUAGAGUUGUAAGCCACGUUACUGGGAACAUUUUAAAAACACAUUGUACUUAAGGUUGUAAGCGUGUGCAGUCCACCAGCAAGCGAUCAGCUUUUAGUUAUGGGCGGCUUAGACUGUCAGUUUUGACUGCAUAAGUUAAUUAAGAAUUACAAUAGGUCUAUGCCAGUUAUAUUAAAUCUCCAGUGUAUUAAUUUCAGUAAUAAUGAAUGAAUUAUUAAACCUAUUGAUUAUAACACGGUCUAAAAUAACGAAGCAAACUGAUGUCAGUCAAGGCUGGCGGUGUAGCGCGUCUCUUAGGGUUGACCAGUGUAUGCAUUGAGUCGCUCAACUAUUUGUACAGUAUGUAUAUUUUUGUAAAAUUCACUUUUAACUUGCGGUGGCAAUAUUAUGAAAUUUUAAAAUUUAUCUAUAAUAUUAAAACUUAGUACAAUUGUUACGCAGUUACUUUGACCACUGGGGUUUUGUUUUGUAUAAUCUGUCGUUAUAAACUUGUGAGUACAGAAACUAAGGCUAAACUUAAAUCCUCAUGAAAUGUUAAACCUGUCUACGAUUAAUUGUUUCUAUGAAUAAAUCAAUGUUAAAAUGACUGCCUUUAUUACAAUCUGAAUACAAGUUAGUUUGGUGAUAUUGAUGUUAAUACAUAGUUGCACGACUCACAAGCUCGCACUGAUGUCGAACACAGGAGCAGACCGUAUGCGGACGUCCUUAUCUGCAGUUCCAAACAUUGUUGCCUGCGAGUAUCAUCAAACCUUUUGAACAUUAUCACUAAUUAAUAUAAAGCUUCAUUUGGACUGUAAAAAUAGAAUACAAAUGCUUAUCCAAAAAUGGUUUGGGACUGAGAUGAGGAGCGCCAAUACAAGCUGCUCGUUAGAGUUUUACGAUAACGCGCCUUCGCGCACUGCUUGGUUGUGAAUUAGUGUCGCUUACGGUUCCCUACUCCGUCUGCUGUCCGCUGCGAAGUAUUCGCUUAACCAGUAUUGUCGUGCCAAAAAUGUAUGCGCCUCGAUUCCUGCACCCUCUACGCGUCCAGGUUCGGUCCCGCACCUGACUAUACCGGGUCGGGGUAAGAACCAUAGCUGACGCUUCUGAGUGCGGGAAUAGAGGACCGGAGCUUUGAAGCAAUAACGUAUCAACUUAGUCUCAAAUCGAAAGCAAUAAUGACUGGGCCGCGAAGCUGCAGUUUAUUUUACAAAAUUCACCCUCUAUUCGAAUAUAAGGAAUCAUUUUUCAUUGCCAAAAUUGUACUUUUUCAGAUUCUUGUGAUAGCAUUUAGUGCAAACAUGUGUAUCUUUCCGCCAGGUCUAAUAAUACCUGUGCAGGAAUUUAGAUUAUGUAACCAAUGUCCAUUAUAGAACAUUGCAUCCAUAGUAAUACUGUAAUCCGAUCAUUUUGUUCGUCAUAUGUAUGCCUUUAUUAUGUUCAGAUGUUGUACUAUUGGAACCAAUUUUCAUAUUUAUUUCUAUGUUUUCAUCAACAUAAGAUGCGAAUAAAAAGUAUCGCCAAAAUAUCAAAAUUGUGUCCAUUACAGCAACGAUCAGGCGGAGUUAGAUCCUAGCUCAAUUUUAUUAAACAAUAAUUAUAUUAUUGUACUUGCUUGUUAUUUGUCGUUGGAACUGUAGUCAAUUCCCCUUGGCUGACUACACACAAUGUGUACAUCGAUUCCACACUCCCGCCGUUACGGGCAUCGAACUUUUAAGUUUAGCGUUGUGCAGUAUUCUAAAACAAUUCAAUUUACUAUAUACUUGCCAGUCAAUUGACAUAAAUGAACAUCUCAGCCAGGCAUAUGUUGUCUAGCUAUCUUAAGUGGGUCGGAAGCAUAAAGCGAGUGUGUGGAACCGACGUGGCAUCAAAUGUGUCGGCCCAAGUUUCAUUCCACAGCCUGCAUUACUCAAAUAACUCGCAUUUUCUUAACACGGUGCUUGUUUUUGUAUAUAACGGACGACGCGACGCGGCAUUGCUCUUCUUAUAUUGUCACUUUGAAUGUACUUAAUAAAAUUUAGUCAAGGAAUGAAAUUUUCCGUUGUUGGAGUGUUCAAGUUUUUAUAUAUACUUGUAUUAGUUUUGUGCUAGUUUCGUUGUUAGAUUUGACGACGUUGUGUACUUAAUCGUACGAUGCAGUACUUAGACGUUAUUGUAAUAUUAAAUGCUGUUGUAUGGCGGACACGCCCCAUAGUUUAAACUCGUGGCCGCUGCUCGUGCGGGCCACACGUUAUGUAUGAUACAAGUAUGUUGCAUAUGAUUUGAGAGUCUCAGUAGCGCGUUGAGUUGUCGAUCCCAAUGAAUAGUCAAUUAUUCGGGAGAGCGCCGCGUCCCGUCGCCGUCAGCUCGUUUAAAGUACAAUUUACCUUAUAAUCUCGUAUUAUUAUUAGUUGUAAUUGAUGUUUGUACACUACUGUCACUGUUGAGCGGUGGUGAGCGGUGGUGGGCGGUGGCGAGCCGCACGUCGCCGGAGCGCGGCCGGAGCGCGGCCGGCGCGCGUCCGAGCCGCGCUCCCGUUAUAUUGAUACAUACCUACGCUAGCAGUAAACACUCAUGUUUGUACAGUUUUUAACGAUAACACUACUUCUCGUAGGUGAAUAAGCAAGAAAUAUUUUUUAGUAUAAUAAGAUCUAAUCGAAUUACAUCAUAGUGUAACAUAAUAAAGUACUCGAGGUUAACGAAAUUUCAUUUUCAAACUUUCUACGGUCCUUCGUUUAAUGAUCGUAUCGGAAAUUGACUCAGUGGAGUGUAAUUAGAAAUAAACAGGAAAAUUUUAAAUGAUGAGAUACAACUUAAAUAAUGGAUAAGUAAUGUAUUAUAAAUAGUUUUAAGGUAAAAAGUUAUUAUUAACAUUGUAUGGAAAAUUGUGACAAAAUUAUAGUCAUUUGUAAUAUU